GGACGAUGCGGAACAUUUUACAAAAAGCUGCGUUAAAAUCGGCCAAGCUGUUCUCACGUGAUGCGAUGACCAAGGAAAAUAGGGAUUCAUAUAUAUACAUAUAGAUAUACUAGAAUAUUUUUGUCAUUUUAUCGUAUCUUAUAAUGCUCGGCGUGGAGUGUGAACACGUUUAGAUAUACUUAAUCCCGAUAUUAAUUUUAUCGUAAGAGAAAACAAGGUCAAAAAUCGCAUUGAUUUUAUGUCCGUCAAGUUGCCACCGGCACAUUAUGCUAGGACUUUACAACUAGUAUUCAUAUUUUGC